GAAAAAACCAGUCCUCAGUAUCUGAAUUAAAUAGGCUUCUAUGGCGCGAGAUGCGAUUCGGGAUCGGCUAUAACCCCGCGAAUCUAUCAUAUCCAACUGGUUGAUCUUUAUUCCUGGAACGUAUUCCAGAGUCAAAACCUUUGUUGCUGUAUAGUCCCAGUACACCAAAGGCACUCGGACCCACUUUAUGUUCCGAAAGUCCCGACGAAAUCUAUCAGCAUUCUUCCCCUCAUUUAUAUAAUCAAUUUCCUCAUACAAUAUCUUAGCACAUUCUUCAUAUAUUCCUAUCCAGUCACGAGUUGGACCACCAAGAGUUUCACUUUUCUGAAAAUACUCUGCGAUCAACUUUAGAUUUCUCAGAUCAAUGUCAAAUAGUUUCUUUAGGCCGGGUCUCUGAACUUUUACAACAACUUUCUCU
rnacentral:misc_RNA from 1 species